rnacentral:rRNA from 1 species
GAUUUCUGGCUUGAAACACUAAGCCGGCCACGGUUUCGUGUGUUAGUGCUUGGUGUUCUGGCCAUCCUUCCAAUCGCCAUCUACUUCUCUUCAUUGAUUAGUAGGUGGUAUUGGAUCUUUUACUUUGAAAAAAUUAGAGUGUUUAAAGCAGGCUUGCGGCUAUGAAUACAUUAGCAUGGAAUAAUAAUUUAGGACUUUUGUCUUAUUUUGUUGGUUUCUAGGACUUAAGUAAUGAUUGAUAGGGACAGUUGGGGGUGCUAGUAUUCAGCGGCCAGAGGUGAAAUUCUUGGAUUCGCUGAAGACUAACUUAUGCGAAAGCAUU